rnacentral:rRNA from 1 species
CCUACGGGAGGCAGCAGUGAGGAAUAUUGGUCAAUGGGCGCGAGCCUGAACCAGCCAAGUAGCGUGAAGGAUGCCUGCCCUACGGGUUGUAAACUUCUUGUAUAAAGGAAUAGAGUGAGGCACGUGUGACUUGUUGAAUGUACUUUAUGAAUAAGGAUCGGCUAACUCCGUGCCAGCAGCCGCGGUCAUACGGAGGGUCCGAGCGUUAUCCGGAUUUUGUGGGUUUACGGGGAGAGUAGAUGGGUUGUUAAGUCAGUUGUGAAAGUUUGCGGCUCAACCGUAAAAUUGCAAUUGAUACUGGCAGUCUUGAGUACAGUAGAGGUAGGCGGAAUUCGUGGUGUAGCGGUGAAAUGCUUAGAUAUCACGAAGAACUCCGAUUGCGAAGGCAGCUUACUAAACUGCCACUGACAUUGAUGCUCGAAAGUGUGGGUAUCAAACAGGAUUAGAUACCCCAGUAGUC